CAACUACUCCCUUUGUCCCAAAUUUCUUGUCUUAGAUUUGUCUAGAUACGGAUGUAUCUAAUACUAAAAUGUGACUUGAUACAUCUGUAUCUAGACAAAUCUAAGACAAGAAUUUUGGGACGGAGGGAGUACUUU
rfam:Triticum aestivum genome assembly, contig: Triticum_aestivum_CS42_TGACv1_scaffold_579302_7BL